GACUCUCCUAGCUGCAAGGGAGCAUGGCAGGUAUGUUGGAGGGAGAUGGCCGAUGCGUAGGACCUGGGAGCUGGGGACCACUGCAGCCUGUGCCCCACUGAGCUUAUCACAGGCCCCAGCCUCAGACCUACCUCAAGAGACUGUGAGCAUUCUAGUAUGCAGGACAGCAAGCCAAACUUGGCAGCCAUGCAAGAUCCCAGCCAGCCCUGAACCGCCCCCAUGCCUGCCUCCACUCCAUCCUCGGCUCAGCCCACUUCAGGCCAUGUGCUGAGUGUGAUGCUUAGAACUUCCCAGCUAGGCAAGCACAAGAAACUCUCUCCUCCAGGUGCCUGACUUCUAGCUGGAAAAGCGCUGAUAGGGGGUCAAACUAGGGACAUAAAAGGUGGAAAAAAGAAGAACCCACAAAGUAGCAUAGGCCAGCUACAACUACUGCAACUGAAGUGUCCAGGCAAGGCACAGAUUACUCUUGAUCAGCAAGGUCCAAUUGGAAGAUGGAACACAGAGACUGGAAAGGCAGAACCAAACCGUGAUGAGCUGAAGCCUAGCGCCAGCAGUGCCCGUCCUGCAUUGAAGGGACCCAAGAGAGCAGCCCUCCUCUCCUCCUUGUUCCCGAAGCCUGAAGAACGCGUGUCACCUGCUAAUGGGACCCGGCAGGUGGAACUAGAUCACAGGUUGAAAUGAAGAUGUCAGACUGCAAAGCAGGGGACAGUAACCAGACCUGGCAGGUGCUCAGCCAGCCGGUCCCCUUGACACCCCCACUCUACCACCCCACCACACACGCUAAGCUCCCGUCUCCCAGGAGCCUCUGCUCACUGCUCUGUUUCCCUCUAUCUGAAGCUCCUAAAGGAAUUCAGAAUUGUCACAGAUGCACUAACUAAACACCAGGCUGGAGCCACUGAUCCAUCUUGCCAAACCAGGCUUAUGUUUUUCAAAAUAGUUCUUAAUGGAGAAUUUCAAAAACAGAGGAAUGGGGCUGGAGAAGUGACUUCUGGGUUAAAAGCAGACCCUGUUCUUGCAGAGGGCCUAAAUUCAGUUCCUAGCACUUACCGUGUGUCUCACAAAUGCAUGAGCAUGUCCAGGGGCAUCUGACGCACAAGCCCAUACCCACAAGUGUAUACAGAAUUAAAAAUUGUAGUGGCGCACACCUUUAGUCCCAGCGUCCAAGAGACAGAAGCAGGCAGAUCUCUGAGUUCAAAGCCAGCCUGGUCUAUAGAAUGAGUUCCAAGACAGCCAGAGCUACAUGGUGAGAUCCUGUCUUAAGUUGCCCCCACAUUUUCUUAAAAAACAUCUUAAAACAAACAACAGAACAGAACAGUACAGGAACUCACAAUCUAAUGAACCUGAAGGUGGUCACUGCCCGACACCUACAGCGUCUGCGUGGCCCCACCCUCCUGGUUAUUCUGAAGCAGAUUCCAGCAAUGCACCAUCUCUCCUACCGAUGUUUCAGUGCUGUGUUUGUCACUGUGGCUGUGACAAACACCUGACAGAAGUUGCUCAAGAGCUACAGUGGGGAAGGCACAGCUCAGGAAUGUUAAGCAGUUGGUCACAUCACAACCACAGUCAGUAAGGGAUGAAGAGAGGGAUGAAGGCCAGGGCUCACCCACUUUCUCCUUUUUUUGUAUUCAGUCAGCACCUCAGCCCAUGGGGUGGCCACAAACACUUUCAGGUGGGUCUUCUCUGCUCAGUUAAUGAUCUCUGGAAGCAGCCUUAGAGACAAACCCAGGUGAUAUAAAUCCAGUCAGGCUGACUGUGAAGAUUAAACAUCCACGAUGUCUCUAAAAGAUAAGAGCUCGGUUUAAAAUGUAUUACAUCCAUUUAUCAUGUGUAUAAAUGCAUGCUGUACACUGCGGCCCUGUGAGACGCUGUCUCUCAGCACCCUGCUCUAUGCCCUACCUGCCUCCUCCUCUAGGAACCCCUACCCCGACCCUGGAGCCACCUGCCCCUGAAGGCCCCUGACCUCUGUCCUCCAAACCCGAUGCCAGUUGUUUGUCCUCCUUGCAAGGUAGCAGUAGGUUCAGAGCCAUCCUCUUGCUGGGCUGCCCCCAGACUGACUCCCGUCUUCUUGUAGUGGGAUUUUUUUUUUGUUACUUUAAAAACCCAAAAAAUGUUAUGUGAAUAUGUUUUUGUUUUAAUCCCAGGUUUGGGAUAUGGGACUGCUUCCGUUUGUCUGCAACCGAUGACUACGAUUGUCUCGUGCUCUAGGAGGGGCGUGAAUCUUGCCAGCUGCAGAUAGUUUAAUUCUGGGGACUCUGGAGAAGGACUAAAUGUCAAAGUCUUGAGAGGGGUGGGAGGUGCUCCAAAAGGAGGAGAAGGAGGAGGAAGUGGUGGCGGAGGCUGCUGCUCCCUCAUGCUGCUCCUGGUUGCUGUUGUUGCGGUUUGAUGGGAAGAAGUUGGAAAUAGCCUAAAGAUAAAGACUGGACUGGCCCAAAGGAACUCUACACCCCUAACCAGCAGGAAGUGGCCUAUAGAAGUCUGUGGCCCCUUUUCCCUCUAGUCUCCUCUCUCUCCUGUCUAGUGUUGGGAGUUUGGAAGGGAGGUACAGAUGUAAGAACCGAGAAAAACAGUAAAACAAAUAUGCC
rnacentral:lncRNA from 1 species